UACGUAGGGUGCGAGCGUUGUCCGGAAUUACUGGGCGUAAAGAGCUCGUAGGUGGUUUGUCGCGUUGUCCCGUGAAAAACUCACAGCUUAACUGUGGGCGUGCGGGCGAUACGGGCAGACUGGAGUACUGCAGGGGAGACUGGAAUUCCUGGUGUAGCGGUGGAAAUGCGCAGAUAUCAGGAGGAACACCGGUGGCGAAAGGCGGGUCUCUGGGGCAACAACUGACGCUGAGGAGCGAAAGCGUGGGGGAGCGAACAGGA
rnacentral:rRNA from 1 species